CUUCCACUGAGAAGAUAGUGGCGAACGGGUGAGUAACACGUGGGUAACCUGCCCAUAAGAGGGGGAUAACAUCCGGAAACGGGUGCUAAUACCGCAUAGUUUUCUUGAUCGCAUGAUCGGGAAAGGAAAGACGGCCUUUGUGCUGUCGCUUAUGGAUGGACCCGCGGCGUAUUAGUUAGUUGGUGAGGUAACGGCUCACCAAGACGAUGAUACGUAGCCGACCUGAGAGGGUGAUCGGCCACAUUGGGACUGAGACACGGCCCAAACUCCUACGGGAGGCAGCAGUAGGGAAUCUUCCGCAAUGGACGAAAGUCUGGACGGAGCAACGCCGCGUGAGUGAAGAAAGGGUUUUCGGAUCGUAAAACUCUGUUGUCAGAGAAGAACAAGUUGGAGAGUAACUGCUCCAGCCUUGACGGUAUCUGACCAGAAAGCCACGGCUAACUACGUGCCAGCAGCGGC
rnacentral:rRNA from 1 species